CCUACGGGCGGCAGCAGUGGGGAAUAUUGCACAAUGGGCGCAAGCCUGAUGCAGCCAUGCCGCGUGCGUGAAGAAGGCCUUCGGGUUGUAAAGCACUUUCAGCGGGGAGGAAGGCGGUGAGGUUAAUAACCUCAUCGAUUGACGUUACCCGCAGAAGAAGCACCGGCUAACUCCGUGCCAGCAGCCGCGGUAAUACGGAGGGUGCAAGCGUUAAUCGGAAUUACUGGGCGUAAAGCGCACGCAGGCGGUCUGUCAAGUCGGAUGCGAAAUCCCCGGGCUCAACCUGGGAACUGCAUUCGAAACUGGCAGGCUAGAGUCUUGUAGAGGGGGGUAGAAUUCCAGGUGUAGCGGUGAAAUGCGUAGAGAUCUGGAGGAAUACCGGUGGCGAAGGCGGCCCCCUGGACAAAGACUGACGCUCAGGUGCGAAAGCGUGGGGAGCAAACAGGAGUAGAUACCCCAGUAGUC
rnacentral:rRNA from 1 species